GCAUUUCUUGUUUGCUUGUGCUCUUUGUGUGUUGUUGGUUUUCUGCAGGUGUACAGAGGCCGUACGGUGACGUGGAGGGCGGUGUACAUGCGGAGGUGCACGUGGAAGGAGGGGUCGGGCUUCUGCUGCGGCGGAUGAGGCUUGUUUCAGAAACUGUUUAGGGUUUUAGGUUUUUUUCUUUACUUUUAGGCUUGGGUUUGUAACGGGUUUGGGUUUAGUUAGUGUUUGGGUAGUGAUUUGGGCUAUGUAUUUGGGUGUAGGUUUUAGAUGUAAAUGGACAUUAAUUGGACUUAUUAUUUUUGGUUUUUCAUUAUCUAUCGGGCCGGGCAAUAUUGGGCCAUUAUAGGGAAGUUGCUUGCUAAUAAAUCAAAUAAUAGAAGAGGGAUUCAAAAGUUCUUCAGAGUGUAUAGUUGUCAAAAGAGGUAAUUGAUAU
rnacentral:lncRNA from 1 species